rnacentral:rRNA from 1 species
AACGAACGCUGGCGGCAGGCUUAACACAUGCAAGUCGAGCGCCCCGCAAGGGGAGCGGCAGACGGGUGAGUAACACGUGGGAAUCUACCCAACCCUACGGAAUAGCUCCGGGAAACUGGAAUUAAUACCGUAUACGCCCUUAGGGGGAAAGAUUUAUCGGGGAUGGAUGAGCCCGCGUUGGAUUAGCUAGUUGGUGGGGUAAAGGCCUACCAAGGCGACGAUCCAUAGCUGGUCUGAGAGGAUGAUCAGCCACAUUGGGACUGAGACACGGCCCAAACUCCUACGGGAGGCAGCAGUGGGGAAUAUUGGACAAUGGGCGCAAGCCUGAUCCAGCCAUGCCGCGUGAGUGAUGAAGGCCUUAGGGUUGUAAAGCUCUUUCACCGGAGAAGAUAAUGACGGUAUCCGGAGAAGAAGCCCCGGCUAACUUCGUGCCAGCCGCCGCAGUAA